GACGAACGCUGGCGGCGUGCUUAACACAUGCAAGUCGAACGGAAAGGCCCUGCUUUUGUGGGGUGCUCGAGUGGCGAACGGGUGAGUAACGCGUGAGUAACCUGCCCUUGACUUUGGGAUAACUUCAGGAAACUGGGGCUAAUACCGGAUAGGAGCUCCUGCUGCAUGGUGGGGGUUGGAAAGUUUCGGCGGUUGGGGAUGGACUCGCGGCUUAUCGGCUUGUUGGUGGGGUAGUGGCUUACCAAGGCUUUGACGGGUAGCCGGCCUGAGAGGGUGACCGGCCACAUUGGGACUGAGAUACGGCCCAGACUCCUACGGGAGGCAGCAGUGGGGAAUAUUGCACAAUGGGCGGAAGCCUGAUGCAGCAACGCCGCGUGCGGGAUGACGGCCUUCGGGUUGUAAACCGCUUUCGCCUGUGACGAAGCGUGAGUGACGGUAAUGGGUAAAGAAGCACCGGCUAACUACGUGCCAGCAGCCGCGGUAA
rnacentral:rRNA from 1 species